rnacentral:rRNA from 1 species
CGCGUAGGCGGUUUGAUAAGUCAGAUGUGAAAGCCCACGGCUUAACUGUGGAAGUGCAUUUGAAACUGUCAGACUUGAGUAUCAGAGGGGAAAGUGGAAUUCCCGGUGUAGAGGUGAAAUUCGUAGAUAUCGGGAGGAAUACUGGUGGCGAAGGCGACUUUCUGGCUGAAUACUGACGCUGAGGCGCGAAAGCGUGGGGAGCAAACA